rnacentral:rRNA from 1 species
UAGGCGGACGGGUGAGUAAUGUCUGGGAAACUGCCCGAUGGAGGGGGAUAACUACUGGAAACGGUAGCUAAUACCGCAUAACGUCGCAAGACCAAAGAGGGGGACCUUCGGGCCUCGCGCCAUCAGAUGAACCCAUAUGGGAUUAGCUUGUAGGUAAGGUAACGGCUUACCUAGGCGACGAUCCCUAGCUGGUCUGAGAGGAUGAUCAGCCACACUGGGACUGAGACACGGCCCCAG